CAGAUUUGUGGGCUGCAUAUCUAUGAGAUGACUGUCCUGUUCCACCACACCCCGAGGUGCUCUUUAGGAUUGAUAUCUGGUCUGCCUGACACUGAUGGAGCACUGCGCAGUUUCUGCUAUAAUUCAACAAAGCACAGAUGGAGGAGAUUUCAUAUACUGCCUUCUCAAACACAGUGGGAAUUAUAUUUCCUGCUCAGUCGGCGGAGGUGCUGACUCCUAAGCUCAUUACAGACCACCAGAGAGUCCUGUGGCCUCCAUCUCGCGAGGAGGAGGAGAAGGAGAAGGAGGAGAAAGGGUCCAUGACCCAGACUUGAAUGAAGGCUCUGAGGUGGAAGAGCUAUCUCUGUGAAAGUCCCGCUGGGCACACUGUCUACUGCCUGACAGCUUCACACAGCUAACCCUGCAUUUCUACUGCACUGUGCUCAUGUAGGACUUGCUAUAAUGGACAGUGGAAAACCCUUUAACGGGUAGUUUACUACUGUACAGCUGGAGAACUCAGAUGGGAAGAAACCUUCACUCCCAAUCUCUUUUCCACUCAAAGUUGCAUUAAAGUCUCUUUAUUCUUGUGGUCA